rnacentral:rRNA from 1 species
UACGUAGGGGGCAAGCGUUGUCCGGAAUCAUUGGGCGUAAAGCGCGUGUAGGCGGUUCGAUAAGUCUGCUGUGAAAGUCCAGGGCUCAACCCUGGGAUGCCGGUGGACAUAUCGGUGACUAGAGUACGGAAGAGGCGAGUGGAAUUCCCGGUGUAGCGGUGAAAUGCGCAGAUAUCGGGAGGAACACCAAUUGCGAAGGCAGCUCGCUGGGACGUCACUGACGCUGAGACGCGAAAGCGUGGGGAGCAAACAGGG